rnacentral:misc_RNA from 1 species
AGGUAUCUGUUGAUGUGUUAUUGACUGACUUGGAAGAUUAUGAGGAUGAAGUACAUGUAACUAAUGGUGCUAAGAGUAGAAAACGAAGAAACCUAAUCAUAGAUGAUGAGGAAUUAAGCAUUCAAGACACAAAUAAGGUCAAGAAGUAAAGGGAUAAUUGUUGGUCAUAAAUGACGAGGAAUAAGUGUUCAUCACACAAAUAAGUUGAAGAUGUAGAGGGAUAAUUGUUGCUUCUGAUUGUUUUCUGUUUUUUGGGCUAAGUUUAGUUGUUUCGUCCUUUUAUAAUUUACACUUUAGUAUAAUAACUAGCCACAUUUGAGCUUAGUUAAGUUAUUUCGUCCUUUUACCAUUUUA